rnacentral:rRNA from 1 species
UUUGUUACUUCAAACCAAUCGGACUUCGGUCUGACAUCAAGUGAUAUUGAACAAUUUAGCUGAUCGCACGGUCUAAGGACCGGCGACAUAUCCUUCAAAUGUCUGCCUUAUCAACUUUCGAUGGUAGAUUAUGCGCCUACCAUGGUUGUAACGGGUAACGGAGAAUCAGGGUUUGAUUCCGGAGAGGGAGCCUGAGAAACGGCUACCACAUCCAAGGAAGGCAGCAGGCACGCAAAUUACCCACUCCCGGCACGGGGAGGUAGCGACGAAAAAUAACAAGCUGGUCUCAAUGAGUUCCAGCAUUGUAAUGGGAACAAUUUAAAUCUUUUAUCGAGGAUCUAUUGGAGGGCAAGUCUGGUGCCAGCAGCCGCGGUAAUUCCAGCUCCAAUAGCGUAUAUUAAAGUUGUUGCGGUUAAAAAGCUCGUAGUUGGAUCUAGGAUUAGGGCUACGGUCGUUCAGCUUGGACGUACUGUAUGCCCGACUCCUUUUCUCUAGUAUUCGAUUGUUGCUCUUAAAUGAGUGACUUUAGUUGCUGGAACUUUUACCUUGAAAAAAUUGAAGUGCUCAAAGCACGUU